GACGAACGCUGGCGGCGUGCUUAACACAUGCCAGUCGAACGGAAAGGCCCUGCUUUUGUGGGGUGCUCGAGUGGCGAACGGGUGAGUAACACGUGAGUAACCUGCCCUUGACUUUGGGAUAACUUCAGGAAACUGGGGCUAAUACCGGAUAGGAGCUCCUGCUGCAUGGUGGGGGUUGGAAAGUUUCGGCGGUUGGUGAUGGACUCGCGGCUUAUCAGCUUGUUGGUGGGGUAGUGGCUUACCAAGGCUUUGACGGGUAGCCGGCCUGAGAGGGUGACCGGCCAAAUUGGGACUGAGAUACGGCCCAGCCUACUACGGGAGGCAGCAGUGGGGAAUAUUGCACAAUGGGCGGAAGCAUGAUGCAGCAACGCCGCGUGCGGGAUGACGGCCUUCGGGUUGUAAACCGCUUUCGCCUGUGACGAAGCGUGAGUGACGGUAAUGGGUAAAGAAGCACCGGCUAACUACGUG
rnacentral:rRNA from 1 species